AUGAGCACCUUGUUCAUCCUGUGCUCCGCGUACAGCAGCCAGCCCAACAUCGACACACCAGACAUGAUCCCCUCCAGCACCGAGUUCCACCCGCAUGGCCCUGUGGUGGAGCAUGUCCACUUGCGGUGCCCACCGCUUGACAACAAGCCCACAACCGUCGGUUUGCUCCACGAACCCCUCCGGCAGGAGCGCAUGGAGGGCCAGGUCAUCAUAGUUGACACUCUUGGGGUCUCGUACCACCGACCUCUCCAGCCCGAUGGCGAUCUCCCUGAUCUGCUCCUCCGAGUGGCUCACCUCAGCUAUGCACCCGAAGCAGAGGAACAUGAGGCUGCGGUUCAGUUGCCCGUCGAGCCACGCAAGGCAGCCGUGCCCCGACGCCUCUGCUCGCUCGCCGGUCUUCUGGACCAGAGACCUGACAUAGUACAACGGAGGCAGCACCACGCCGGGCAGAAGAUGUCGCGGGUACCUGAUGUAUCUUGCGACCAGGUGUGA
rnacentral:rRNA from 1 species